rnacentral:rRNA from 1 species
GUCCACGCCCUAAACGAUGGGUACUAGACGUCGGGAAGCUUGUCUUCUUGGUGUCGCAGCUAACGCAAUAAGUACCCCGCCUGGGGAGUACGGUCGCAAGAUUAAAACUCAAAGGAAUUGACGGGGGCCCGCACAAGCGGUGGAGCAUGUGGUUCAAUUCGAUGCAACGCGAAAACCUUACCUGCCCUUGACAUCUAGAGAAUCCUGCAGAGAUGCGGGAGUGCCGCAAGGAACUCUAAGACAGGUGCUGCAUGGCUGUCGU